rnacentral:rRNA from 1 species
AGUGAACGCUGGCGGUAGGCCUAACACAUGCAAGUCGAACGGCAGCACAGGAGAGCUUACUCUCUGGGUGGCGAGUGGCGGACGGGGGAGGAAUACAUCGGAAUCUACUCUGUCGUGGGGGAUAACGUAGGGAAACUUACGCUAAUACCGCAUACGACCUACGGGUGAAAGCAGGGGACCUUCGGGCCUUGCGCGAUUGAAUGAGCCGAUGUCGGAUUAGCUAGUUGGCGGGGUAAAGGCCCACCAAGGCGACGAUCCGUAGCUGGUCUGAGAGGAUGAUCAGCAACACUGGAACUGAGACACGGUCCAGACUCCUACGGGAGGCAGCAGUGGGGAAUAUUGGACAAUGGGCGCAAGCCUGAUCCAGCCAUACCGCGUGGGUGAAGAAGGCCUUCGGGUUGUAAAGCCCUUUUGUUGGGAAAGAAAUCCAGCUGGCUAAUACCCGGUUGGGAUGACGGUACCCAAAGAAUAAGCACCGGCUAACUUCGUGCCAGCAGCCGCCGUAA